GUCAGGAUGGCAGAGUGGUCUAAGGCGCUGUGUUAAGGUCGCAGUCUCCUCUGGAGGCGUGGGUUCAAAUCCCAAUUUUGACA
rnacentral:tRNA from 1 species